rnacentral:piRNA from 1 species
CAUUAAGAAGGAGCUGACUCAGA